rnacentral:rRNA from 1 species
GAUGAACGCUGGCGGCGUGCCUAAUACAUGCAAGUCGAGCGAACGGACGAGAAGCUUGCUUCUCUGAUGUUAGCGGCGGACGGGUGAGUAACACGUGGAUAACCUACCUAUAAGACUGGGAUAACUUCGGGAAACCUGAGCUAAUACCGGAUGAUAUUUUGAACCGCAUGGUUCAAAAGUGAAAGACGGUCUUGCUGUCACUUAUAGAUGGAUCCGCGCUGCAUUAGCUAGUUGGUAAGGUAACGGCUUACCAAGGCAACGAUGCAUAGCCGACCUGAGAGGGUGAUCGGCCACACUGGAACUGAGACACGGUCCAGACUCCUACGGGAGGCAGCAGUAGGGAAUCUUCCGCAAUGGGCGAAAGCCUGACGGAGCAACGCCGCGGGAGUGAUGAAGGUCUUCGGAUCGUAAAACUCUGUUAUUAGGGAAGAACAUAUGUGUAAGUAACUGUGCACAUCUGGACGGUACCUAAUCAGAAAGCCACGGCUAACUACGU